AUGAACGCUGGCGGCGUGCUUAACACAUGCAGGUCGAACGAAACACCUUAUUUGAUUUUCUUCGGAACUGAAGAUUUGGUGAUUGAGUGGCGGACGGGUGAGUAACGCGUGGGUAACCUGCCCUGUACAGGGGGAUAACAGUCAGAAAUGACUGCUAAUACCGCAUAAGACCACAGCACCGCAUGGUGCAGGGGUAAAAACUCCGGUGGUACAGGAUGGACCCGCGUCUGAUUAGCUGGUUGGUGAGGUAACGGCUCACCAAGGCGACGAUCAGUAGCCGGCUUGAGAGAGUGAACGGCCACUUUGGGACUGAGACACGGCCCAAACUCCUACGGGAGGCAGCAGUGGGGAAUAUUGCACAAUGGGGGAAACCCUGAUGCAGCGACGCCGCGUGAGUGAAGAAGUAUUUCGGUAUGUAAAGCUCUAUCAGCAGGGAAGAAAAUGACGGUACCUGACUAAGAAGCCCCGGCUAACUACGUG
rnacentral:rRNA from 1 species